UACGAAGGGGGCUAGCGUUGCUCGGAAUCACUGGGCGUAAAGCGCACGUAGGCGGAUUGUUAAGUCAGGGGUGAAAUCCUGGAGCUCAACUCCAGAACUGCCUUUGAUACUGGCGAUCUUGAGUCCGGGAGAGGUGAGUGGAACUGCGAGUGUAGAGGUGAAAUUCGUAGAUAUUCGCAAGAACACCAGUGGCGAAGGCGGCUCACUGGCCCGGUACUGACGCUGAGGUGCGAAAGCGUGGGGAGCAUACAGG
rnacentral:rRNA from 1 species